ACAAGCUGGUGGGUGGCGCCCCAUCUUCAGGCUCUGCGUCAGCUCCUGCCUAUGGUUCCUGUCCUGACUUUCUUCAGUGAUUAGCAGAUACGGACGUGUAAGCCAAACAAACCCUUUCUUCCCCAAUUUCCCUCAGGUGCUGGUGUUUCUCUGCAGUAAUAGUAACCCUAAGAUGGAAGUUGGUGCCAGCAUAGUGGGGGUGUUGCUGUGACAGACCUGACCGUGGUUUGGGGAGGACCGUGGAAGUGACUUUGGGCUAGAAAGGCCAUUGAGUGUUGAGAGCUCAGAGGGAGCCUCUGCGGGGAGACGGAACAGACAGAAGAGCAGGAGGCUGGGCUUGCCAGUUUCCGAGGGAGUCGAAGACCGCACUGGGCCGUUUGUGCAAAGAAUCUGUGAUGUCCGGUCGGCUUGGCGUGGAAGAGUCAGCCGUGAUUAGCAAGAGGCCAGAAGCGCUGACGUGAAAUCUCUGCUUAACGGGACAGUUGAUGCUGGAGCUGAGAAGUUAAUGGUGACUAAGAAGAGACGGGCAUCACUGAGGUGAAGUCUCCAGGGUGUGUUUCCUCAGACUCAGCACACAGAAGCUGUGUUCCAGAGGCUGCUAAGGCUGCACCUGGCACUGGCAGAGGAACUUGGCAGUGUCACCCAGGUGGUGCCGGUCUUGAAGGCAUGAAGGGAUCAUGGAGAGCAGCUGAGGCCUGGGCCCGGGAGAGGCCACUGGUGAAGGUGCAGCCUCAGUGGCAGUUGGAGGCUCAGGACUGCCACUGAGGAGAGAAGCUGAGGCCUGGCACCGUGAGGAGAGCCAAUGAGAGGCUACUGGUGAAAGUGCAGUCUGGUGGCAGCAGAAGACCCCAGCCUUUCAGGGAUGCCGGUGCCGUGGGGAGACCCCAGCCUUUCAGGGAUGCCGGUGCCGUGGGGAGACCACCCGAGCACAGCACGCAGGAGUGGAGUCAGCCUGAGCAUGGAUGGAAGACAGCUGUGUGUGCUGCGGAGGCCGCGGUCAGAGACGUAGCCCAAGAGCAUCGGGGGAGCCUCAAAGAACCUGAUGGUGAGGCUAUUGCUGAAGCCACCACACACUUGAGUCAUGGAACACGGAGAAGUCAUGUUGCUACUGACCCGGAAGCCUCAUCCCUACUGUCUAGCUGUCACAGUGUUGGAGGGCGCUAUGCACACCACUGAAGGAAAAAGCUGGCUCUGUGGUCACUGGAACGAAGAAAUUCCCUGGGUUUGUCUCCUGAUUAUUAUGUAACUUAAUGCUCCAUUGAAUCUGUCAGCGACCCCCGUGCUUUGUAAAGCCUUCAAAAAGAAAAAGAAAAAGCCAAAAACCCAGAUUGGAAAAGUCUCCCACCUUCCAGUUUGCCACACUGCUCUCCAUGCAACAAGGGCACUUCCCCGUGGAAAACACACUUCCUCACACGCACUUCCUCGCACGCACACUUCCUCACAUGUACUUCCUCACACACCUCAUUACACACGCUUCUUCCUCACACGCACUUCUGUUUUCCUGGUGCCUGGCUGCCCUCCAUGUUAGCCGGAUCUUACUCUUCGAUCACUUAAAGAAGGCCUGGGCUGCACGCUGCCGCCUCCGCCCCAGGCACUGGGGCUGCAAACAGGAGCCAGCACUCCCGGCUUGCCCCCCCCCCACCUCCCCGCCUGGAGAUGUGGGGUAGAGGCUGUGGUGUAGGCGAACUCCCAGGGAGCUGGGCACACCUUCCCCUCUGCACACCGGGCCUCCUCCUUGGUGGGCGGCGACCCCAUGGGCUGCUGGCCUUCCCAAGGGUCUGUGCGGUGUCCCGGGAUGUGGUUCCCGCUGCGGGGGACCUCGGAUCAUGCUGCCUUCUGACGCCCCAGUCAUCUCGGCUCAGCAGGACUGCAUCAAAGGGAGCUGCUUGCUUGGCGGGGCCGUUAUUAGAAUGCUUAGCACCCCUGGAUGGGUCUCCACACCCCGCAGAGCACAGCGAGGCCCGCACCGGAACCAGAGUGGGAAGAACCGGGUCCUUGUUGCCGUCGGUGAACCGUUCAUUUAGCCGUCCCAAAAGGGGUUGUGUUGCGUAAGAGAACACUUUCCCCUAUGGAUGCCGCCGCUUCAAGUCAGAGUUUGUGUCGCUCGCGGGCCUCAACAUCCCGGUGCACACAGCGGUUAUCCUGGAAAAUACCUCAGCUCCCAGGUUCAGAGCAGCCAAACCCAGGGAGAGUAUUUCACAUUGCCCAGCACCGGGGCUCUAUUGCAAAUUCUCACCAAAGUUUUGACGGCCGGCAGUGAUUGUAAACUUGACAAGAUCUCCAGUCACGUGGAAGACACUCCCCCGGGAAUGUCCACGAGGAAGCUUCUAGAUCGUGUUACUUGAGGUGGCCAGCCUCCUCCUCUGCUUCCUGAGCGUGGAUGCAUGUGGCCAGCCUCCUCACGCUGUGGCCACCGUGACUCCGUGCUGCCAUGAUGCACCUGGUCCUGCGAGCGAAAGCAAACCCCCCCUUUCUCGAGGGCUUUUGUUUUAGCAAUGAGAAAAGCAACCACUACAGGGUUGUGUCAAAUGGACAGUCGAGGCUAACCAUUGCGAACAGAUGCCAUGAAAAAAAAUAAUCAAGGACUCCAUCUAUAAAUACUACUUGUGGGAUUGUAACCGAGUGGUAAGAAUUGACCUAUAAGAUUCCCUCACACCUUUCCCAACACCAGCGAGAUUGUGUCAUUACCUUAUCUACAGUGGAGUAGACUGUACGUAGCUGUUGAUUUUUGAUGCCGACCCUUCUCCUACCACACUGAGGUGGUAGAGCUUGCAGGAGGGCAGCUGAGGAUGUAAAUUCCUGGGGGGGGCGGGUGCAAUGAGGAGCCUCAUUCCACAGAGGCUGGGAGGUCGGCAGAUUCUUUGCUCUGGAUGCUCCUGGCCAUGGACCAAGGAGAGUCCCCUGCCAGCUGAGCCAGGCCUGUUUCUAAUAAGCCAGAUAUUGCCAGGCAGCAGGCGGGGUCUCACUAGCGGAUCAGGUCAGGCACAAACCUUCAGGGAUUCCUUCGCCCUCCGAUGCCCAUUCCAGCCACUCAGGGCCACCCAACAAACGAUGCCCCGGAGGCUUGGCACACAAUUAAAAGGGAAGAAAUUCUUAAUCAAAUCAUGCCGCUCCAAGUGAAUCGGGCUGGAAUGAAAAGAAUCGUGUGGAACUGCCCACAAUGGAAAUUCACCAGGCCAGAGUGGACACCAAAUACUCCCAGGUUGCUUUUGAAAUAGAUACUGCAGUGUUCUGUAGAGUUCUGAAAUCACAUCCAAGUAUUAAAAAAUUUUUCCAUUAGCUAAGGUUGCUUUAGGAGAUAGCACACACACACACACACACAUACACACAUUCACACACACACAUGUACAGACACACACAUGCACACACAAAGCACAUGUGUGCUGUGUGUACAUGGGAACAGCAGAAGCCCACAUCAGACUCUGUACCCCAAGUUCUCUUCAAACUAGCUAAGACCGUGAAUCCCCUGCACCCUCCUUUGAGACAGCUCUCGGUUAAAAAAAAAAGUUUGUUUCCCUUUUCCUGCUCAAGAAUGUCAUGACAAGCUCCCCCAUUCAUUACCAAAAUGUUCUUUUGCCACUAAUUUCUCUUCUUGGCUAAAAUAA